rnacentral:rRNA from 1 species
GACGAACCGUGCGAACGUUGUUCGGAAUCACUGGGCUUAAAGGGCGCGUAGGCGGGCUGGAAAGUCCGGGGUGAAAUCCCCCCGCUCAACGGGGGAACGGCCCCGGAUACUGCCGGCCUGGAGGCGGGUAGGGGCGUGCGGAACUGUGGGUGGAGCGGUGAAAUGCGUUGAGAUCCACAGGAACUCCGGUGGCGAAGGCGGCACGCUGGACCCGGUCUGACGCUGAGGAGCGAAAGCGUGGGGAGCGAACAGG